rnacentral:rRNA from 1 species
GUUGAACGCUGGCGGCGUGCCUAAUACAUGCAAGUCGAGCGAAGCGGGGACGGGUGAGUAACACGUGGAAAACCUCCUAUAAAACUGGGAUAAUAUCGGAAAACGGGAGCAAUACCGGAAACUUAUAGAUGGAGCCGCGCUGCAUUAGCUAGUUGGUGCGGUAACGGCUUACCAAGGCAACGAUGCCUAGCCGACCUGAGAGGGUGAUCGGCCACACUGGAACUGAGACACGGUCCAGACUCCUACGGGAGGCAGCAGUAGGGAAUCUUCCGCAAUGGGCGAAAGCCUGACGGAGCAACGCCGCGUGAGUGAUGAAGGUCUUCGGAUCGUAAAACUCUGUUAUUAGGGAAGCGGUACCCAAUCAGAAAGCCACGGCUAACUACGUGCCAGCAGCCGCGGUAAUAC